GAUGUCCUACGGGGGGCAGCAGUGAGGAAUAUUGGUCAAUGGGCGGGAGCCUGAACCAGCCAAGUCGCGUGAGGGAUGACGGCCCUAUGGGUUGUAAACCUCUUUUGCCGGGGAGCAAAGUGCCGCACGUGUGCGGAUUGGAGAGUACCCGGAGAAAAAGCAUCGGCUAACUCCGUGCCAGCAGCCGCGGUAAUACGGAGGAUGCGAGCGUUAUCCGGAUUUAUUGGGAUUAAAGGGUGCGUAGGCGGACGCUUAAGUCAGCGGUAAAAUUGCGGGGCUCAACCUCUUCGUGCCGUUGUAACUGG
rnacentral:rRNA from 1 species